rnacentral:rRNA from 1 species
AUUGAACGCUGGCGGCAGGCCUAACACAUGCAAGUCGAGCGGCAGCGGGAAAGUAGCUUGCUACUUUUGCCGGCGAGCGGCGGACGGGUGAGUAAUGCCUGGGAAAUUGCCCAGUCGAGGGGGAUAACAGUUGGAAACGACUGCUAAUACCGCAUACGCCCUACGGGGGAAAGCAGGGGACCUUCGGGCCUUGCGCGAUUGGAUAUGCCCAGGUGGGAUUAGCUAGUUGGUGAGGUGAUGGCUCACCAAGGCGACGAUCCCUAGCUGGUCUGGGAGGAUGAUCAGCCACACUGGAACGGGGACACGGUCCAGACUCCUACGGGAGGCGGCAGUGGGGAAUAUUGCACAAUGGGGGAAACCCUGAUGCAGCCAUGCCGCGUGUAUGAAGAAGGCCUUCGGGUUGUAAAGUACUUUCAGCGGGGAGGAAGGCGGUGAGGUUAAUAACCUCGCCGAUUGACGUUACCCGCAGAAGAAGCACCGGCUAACUCCGUGCCAGCCGCCGCCGUAAGAC